UUUUUCUAAAAGACAAACAGAUACAGAAUAAAUAAGGUCAUACUUCUAACCAAAGUCUAGGGUGAAAAUUUUUUGCUUAUUUACUCAUGAGCCAAAUCUAUAAACAGCAGGAUGGCUAGAGAGAAAACCUAAAGGGCAAAAGCAGAGGGAGAUACAGAAGGCAUGAAGGACUGCCAACCCACUGGGAGAGAGGAAGGGAGGAAGUUUGCUACAAAUGCUGAUAGUCUGUGUGAAGCCCUAGCCAGAAGAUCUCUCUAGGUUUCAAAAUUUGCCUCUUCGGCUCCACACUGUCCCUCAAGAUGGUGAGAAGGUCUUUGGGCUGGGCCCAAUAGUGAAGCAUACCUCCCAGUUCCCUAGGCUGUCUCUGGCCACUUUUUAGCCUCCUCAAAACAAUCACCAUCACUUGGAAUGGAUGUGAGAAACAAAUGCAUAUAUCCCACAUUAGGGGACUCUGUCCCUUCCCUCAGAUACUUGCUACCUUCUUUUUUUUUUGAGGCCAUUCUUUUUUUUUUCCUUCCUCAAAACCCCAGUACACGGUUGUAUAUCCUAGUUGUAAGUUGUUCUAGUUCUUCUAUGUGAGCCACCACCACAGCAUGACAACUGACAGACAGGUGGUUCCAUGACUGGGAAGUGAACCUGAGCCACUGAAGUGCUAAACUUUAACCACUAGGCCAUCAGGGCUAGCUCCUGAGCCCAUUCUUUUUUUUUUUUUUUUUACUUUUUAUUAAGAUUAUGAUAGUUCACUUAACAUAAUACCCUCAAGGUCCAUCCCUUUUGUCGUGAAUGGGACGAUUUUAUCCUUUUUUAUGGCUGAGUAGUAUUCCAUUGUAUACAUACCACAUCUUCUUUAUCCAAUCAUCAGUUGAUGGGCACUUAGGUUGCUUCCACAUCUUGGCUAUUGUAAAUAAUGCUGCAAUGAACAUAGGGGUGCAUGGGACUUUUGGAAUUGCUGAUUUCAAGUCCUUUGGGUAGAUACCCAGUAGUGGGAUGGCUGGGUCAUAAGGUAUUUCUAUUUUUAAUUUUUUGAGAAAUCUCCAUACUGUUUUCCAUAGUGGCUGCACCAGUUUGCAUUCCCACCAACAAUGUAUGAGAGUUCCUUUUUCUCCACAACCCCUCCAACAUUUGUCACUUUUUGUUUUGGUUAUUUUUGCCAUUCUAACAGGUGUAAGGUGAUAGUGUAGUUUGAUUUGCAUCUCCCUGAUGCACAGCGAUGAUGAGCAUCUUUUCAUGUGUCUAUUGGCCAUCCAUAUAUCUUCUUUGGAGAAAUGUCUGGUCAUGUCCCCUGCCCAAUUUUUGAUUGGGUUGUUUGAUUUUUUCUUGUUGAGCUGUGUGAGUUCUUUAUAUAUUAUGGAGAUUAACCCUUUGUCG
rnacentral:lncRNA from 1 species